UCGCCAAUCGCAUUUCCAAACAACUAACAACUCAGAAUGCUGGGCAAUAGGACGUUUAAAGUGGCUCCUUACACCUUACAAAGGAAUGGCUGAUGAGAAACAACUCGAUCCGCUCAGCGUUCUAUUGGAAUGCAACGGACGUGAUUGCAAGCUUUUGUUUUGAGUCGCGGUUUUACUGAAAGACUCUACAAUCCGCAAACUUCAAUGAUCUGAAGUAGAAAACCUACAUGCUACAGUGAGAUAUUGUGGAUAAACUUAAGCGACCGCUCCAACAUUGUGUUUUUUUAAAACUGAUGAAGGUUGCGGCAAUAACAGGUCUGUGAUGCCCUUCGAUGUCCUGGGCUGCACACGUGCUACAAUGGCUAGCGCAGUGAGCAUAUUUCAACCGAAACAUCGGUUGGCUGUUCUGAUUGACCCCUUCUGGGUCUCUCUGUAACACUACCGAUGAUCCCUCCUCUGAAAAGAGAGGGUAAGCCGUUCGAAAUUCUGGUAACGAUUCCCCGUAGUUAAGCAAACUUAAACCAUAGUGGUGUCAAACGGGUCCGCUUCCAUCGGAAAAGAUUCCUCCGGAAAAAGGCUUAUGCAGGCAUUUCACGUAUGCUCCUAUAAAUUCCUGGUAGGGAUAGUCUAUUGUAACUGGUAGACUUGUCAACUAGGAAUGCUUGUACGGG
rnacentral:rRNA from 1 species